rnacentral:rRNA from 1 species
UACGUAGGGCGCAAGCGUUGUCCGGAAUUAUUGGGCGUAAAGAGCUCGUAGGCGGUCUGUUACGUCUGCUGUGAAAACCCGGGGCUUAACCCUGGGCUUGCAGUGGAUACGGGCAGACUAGAGGUAGGUAGGGGAGAAUGGAAUUCCCGGUGUAGCGGUGAAAUGCGCAGAUAUCGGGAGGAACACCGGUGGCGAAGGCGGCUCACUGGCUCAUUUCUGACGCUCAGGCGCGACAGCGUGGGGAUCAAACAGG